GACGCGAGAGAGCGAGGUCAAUGGCCCGGGUAGCUACAGCAGCCGUCGCAGCCACCGGUCACCUCAGCUGUGAACCAUGUAGGAGCCGUCUGGGUGUAGCCCUACCUGCCAGGCGGCGCCCCGCGGGCUGCCGCCGCCGCUGCCUUGAAGAAGCAGUUCAACCUCAUCAGCAGGUGGCCGACCUGACUAUGGGCCGGUCGGCUCUGGACCGAACCACAGCCCAGCCCGAGGCCAGCGGGACGCCCGCUGCCGCUCAAUCGCCCCCUGGUCCUUGGCGACCAUCUGGGACGGGCCGCUGCCUCCUCUGUAGCAACCCCUCGGGUGCCCCCUGCCCAUUGUCCCUACCCCGGCGAGCAUUGCCCUGCGAGGACUACACCCGAUGCUUCUCCUCUCUUCCGGAGGACACAGCCAGCCUGGGACCGCUGCCCUGUGCUAAAACUCCGAUGACUUCUGUCCCUAACGCUGUGCCGAGCGCUGUGCUGUGGGGGGCAGCAUUGUCAGACUUUCCGGGUUGACCCGCUGUUGGGAGUCCUUUAAGUGCAUGGUAGCAAGAAAUAAAGGGAUAUAUGAAAGCCAG
ensembl:lncRNA novel transcript